rnacentral:tRNA from 1 species
GGCUCCGUGGUCAAGCGGUCAAGACACCGCCCUUUCACGGCGGUAGCACGGGUUCGAUUCCCGUCGGAGUCA